rnacentral:pre_miRNA from 1 species
ACCUGAAUCCCCAGAGCACCUUAUUAAGAGACAGAUUCUGAUUCAGUAGGUCUGGGUGGACCCAGGAUUCUGUUUCUAACAAGCUCCCCUGGAGAUACUGUG